rnacentral:rRNA from 1 species
AGUGGCGGACGGGUGAGUAACGCGUGGGUAACCUGCCUCAUACAGGGGGAUAACAGUUGGAAACGGCUGCUAAUACCGCAUAAGCGCACAGUACCGCAUGGUACCGUGUGAAAAACUCCGGUGGUAUGAGAUGGACCCGCGUCUGAUUAGCUAGUUGGUGGGGUAACGGCCUACCAAGGCGACGAUCAGUAGCCGACCUGAGAGGGUGACCGGCCACAUUGGGACUGAGACACGGCCCAA